UACGGAGGGGCUAGCGUUGUUCGGAAUUACUGGGCGUAAAGCGCACGUAGGCGGCUUGUAAGUUAGAGGUGAAAUCCCGGGCUCAACCCCGGAACUGCAUCCGAUACUGCCAUGCUAGAGGAUUGGAGAGGUAGCUGGAAGUUCUUGGUGUAGCAGUGAAAUGACGUAGAGAUCAAGAGGAACACUCGUGGCGAAAGCGAGCUACUGGACAAUUCCUGACGCUGAGGCUACGAAGGCUAGGGUAGCGAAAGGG
rnacentral:rRNA from 1 species